UGGGGAAUAUUGCACAAUGGGCGCAAGCCUGAUGCAGCCAUGCCGCGUGUGUGAAGAAGGCCUUCGGGUUGUAAAGCACUUUCAGCGGGGAGGAAGGCGUUAAGGUUAAUAACCUUUGCUCAUUGACGUUACCCGCAGAAGAAGCACCGGCUAACUCCGUGCCAGCAGCCGCGGUAAUACGGAGGGUGCAAGCGUUAAUCGGAAUUACUGGGCGUAAAGCGCACGCAGGCGGUUUGUUAAGUCAGAUGUGAAAUCCCCGGGCUCAACCUGGGAACUGCAUCUGAUACUGGCAAGCUUGAGGCUCGUAGAGGGGGGUAGAAUUCCAGGUGUAGCGGUGAAAUGCGUAGAGAUCUGGAGGAAGACCGGUGGCGAAGGCGGCCCCCUGGACAAAGACUGACGCUCAGGUGCGAAAGCGUGGGGAGCAAACAGG
rnacentral:rRNA from 1 species